ACUGAUUCAAUGGACAAUACAAUAAGAGUAUGGAACCUUGAAACCUUGCAGUGCUUACAAACACUAACAGAGCACACAUCUGUUGUGAUGUCUGUUCUCUGCUGGGACCAAUUCCUUUUAUCUUGUUCAUUGGACAAAAUAGUGAAGGUCUGGUAUGCUACAGAAAGUGGAAACUUGGAAGUGACAUAUACUCACA